UAAACUGAAGAGUUUGAUCAUGGCUCAGAUUGAACGCUGGCGGCAGGCUUAACACAUGCAAGUCGAGCGGAGAUGAGGUGCUUGCACCUUAUCUUAGCGGCGGACGGGUGAGUAAUGCUUAGGAAUCUGCCUAUUAGUGGGGGACAACAUUCCGAAAGGAAUGCUAAUACCGCAUACGUCCUACGGGAGAAAGCAGGGGAUCUUCGGACCUUGCGCUAAUA
rnacentral:rRNA from 1 species